GGCGUGGUGGUGUAGCGGUAACACACCUGCUUUACUAGUGGUUUUCCCGAUCGGGAACGGAUCAGCAGGAGUCCCUUGUUCGACUCAAGGUCAGGCCA